UACGGAGGGUGCAAGCGUUAUCCGGAUUUAUUGGGUUUAAGGGAGCGUAGGCGGGAUUGUAAGUCAGUGGUGAAAGCCCGUAGCUCAACUACGGAACUGCCAUUGAUACUGCAGACCUAGAGUACACUUGAAGUGGGCGGAAUGUGUCAUGUAGCGGUGAAAUGCUUAGAUAUGACACAGAACACCAAUUGCGAAGGCAGCUCACUAAAUUGUAACUGACGCUGAGGCUCGAUAGCGUGGGGAUCAAACAGG
rnacentral:rRNA from 1 species